GGGGAAUUUUGGACAAUGGGGGGAACCCUGAUCCAGCCAUUCCGCGUGUGCGAUGAAGGCCUUCGGGUUGUAAAGCACUUUUGGCAGGAAAGAAAUCGCACGGACUAAUACUCUGUGUGGAUGACGGUACCUGCAGAAUAAGCACCGGCUAACUACGUGCCAGCAGCCGCGGUAAUACGUAGGGUGCAAGCGUUAAUCGGAAUUACUGGGCGUAAAGCGUGCGCAGGCGGUUCGGAAAGAAGGAUGUGAAAUCCCAGGGCUCAACCUUGGAACUGCAUUCUUAACUACCGGGCUAGAGUGUGUCAGAGGGAGGUGGAAUUCCGCGUGUAGCAGUGAAAUGCGUAGAUAUGCGGAGGAACACCGAUGGCGAAGGCAGCCUCCUGGGAUAACACUGACGCUCAGGCACGAAAGCGUGGGGAGCAAAC
rnacentral:rRNA from 1 species